ACUUUGAUUCUGGCUCGGGACGAACGCUGGCGGCGCGCCUAACACAUGCAAGUCGAGCGGGAAGCUUUUUAAGGAUUCUUCGGAUGAAUUAAAAAGUGGAGAGCGGCGGACGGGUGAGUAACGCGUGAGAAACCUGCCCUAUACAGGGGGAUAGCCAUUGGAAACGAUGAUUAAUACCCCAUAUGACCACAGUAUCGCAUGAUACAGCGGUGAAAACUCCGGUGGUAUAGGAUGGUCUCGCGUCUGAUUAGCUAGUUGGUGGGGUAACGGCCUACCAAGGCGACGAUCAGUAGCCGGCCUGAGAGGGUGACCGGCCACACUGGAACUGAGACACGGUCCAGACUCCUACGGGAGGCAGCAGUGGGGAAUAUUGCACAAUGGGCGAAAGCCUGAUGCAGCGACGCCGCGUGAACGAUGAAGGCUUUCGAGUCGUAAAGUUCUGUUCUUGGGGAAGAUAACGACGGUACCCAAGGAGAAAGCNCCGGCUAAAUACGUGCCANCAGCCGCGGUA
rnacentral:rRNA from 1 species